rnacentral:rRNA from 1 species
AUUGAACGCUGGCGGCAUGCUUUACACAUGCAAGUCGAACGGGCUUAGGGGCUUGCUCCUAAGUUAGUGGCGAACGGGUGAGUAAUACAUCGGAACGUACCGUGUAGUGGGGGAUAACGUAGCGAAAGUUACGCUAAUACCGCAUACGAUCUACGGAUGAAAGUGGGGGACCUUCGGGCCUCACGCUAUACGAGCGGCCGAUGUCUGAUUAGCUAGUUGGUGAGGUAAAGGCUCACCAAGGCAACGAUCAGUAGCGGGUCUGAGAGGAUGAUCCGCCACACUGGGACUGAGACACGGCCCAGACUCCUACGGGAGGCAGCAGUGGGGAAUUUUGGACAAUGGGCGAAAGCCUGAUCCAGCCAUGCCGCGUGUCUGAAGAAGGCCCUUCGGGUUGUUAAA